ensembl:lncRNA
UUUAUAGAGAUCGCUAGAGUCCUUCUUUUUAUAGUUCUUUUACUUCUUUGAUAAAAGAAGAAGGAGUCAGGUAAUUUGAAGUCCAAGACCAAGAAAUAAUCUUGCAACAAGAUGACGGGUUGUGACCAACUCUGGCAUCCUGGAGACAGACACUCGCCACCUUGGUGUCGUAAGUGUGGGCACCGUUUUCUGGAGCCCCGGGGUGAACGGCUCACGGCUUACACUUUGCCCAGCCCUUUGGCAUCGGUCGAGGGGCUGGUUUGAUGAUCUGACCUCUUUCGGUCUCUGGAUAUUUGUUAAAAUAGAUCCUUAAUUUUUCUUCAAUAGAAAAUACCACUCAGCGUUCAAAGCCAACAGUAAUUUUUCGGUCCCAGAUACUCAGAGCAGAUAGAUAACUGUAACCCUGAUGCUCCUUGAAGCUUCAUUAUUCGCCGAUCAGUUUAUUUCCACGUGGGACACGCAGGAGAGCCGCCACAGACACUGUGAGUGCACAAGCCCCCUGGACACGCCUGCAGCUCAGGGAAGAGCGCCAGACACACGUAGCAACACGCGUGUGUGUGUGUGUGUGCAGGGCGGGGGAGGGGGGCCUCCUGCUGCCCUGAGACCUGGGAGCCGGGGGUGGGGCUGAGGAGAGGCCCGGUGAUGGACCUGGAUGUGCCCGGAGGCCAGAGGAGGCCAGAGGAAGGGAGGGUGGGGAUUCUUCAGCCGCCGCCCCCUCCGCUGUCCCCACCACAAACCUGAGAAGCUGUUGACACAAAGCACGAGUGACUCCCAGUCACUGGCAGCUCAUCCUGCUCAGGAUCCUCUUCUGGAGAAGGAACGUAGGUCCCGCACGGGGGUCACGGCCAGGGCAGGGCACGUGGGCGCCGCAGAGCCCCUCCCCCAGAGAAAUCUGUGCCCUUCCUUGUCCACCUGGAUGGGGGCCAGUUGCUCUGUCUAAGCUGGUCCACGUGGGGGUGCUUAGCUCUGGCCCCCACGUGGGGUCACCUGAGGGGCUUUGCAGAGGCCCUGGGCAGAGCCACGCAGAGCCCGUCCUGCCCAGACGUCUCACGUCGGCACCCGGACGGGCUGUGCCGCUGGGACCCAGAGCCGUGGAGCAGAGCGCCUGCCUGGGAGGGAGGGCCCUCCGGGCCGGGGGUCCCGUGUCUCGCGUGGGGAGAAUGCUGGUCGCCGGUGUCGUGGCCGCUGGGUCCUCCCUUGCUGUGACCACUCACCUCGGGAAGGACGUGACGGCGGGUGUUCCCACUGAGCCUCUGACAACCUGGGGGGCCGUCCUUUCGGCACCACUUUCUCCACCCUUUCUGGAAGCUUCGCCAGGGGCACUCAGCACCCUCCUUCUUCAGGGAUGCUGGGAGAUUUAGGAAACGGUGUGAAGGAAGAGGCAGACCCUUCUCGAGUCGGCCUGGUUUGCACAGCAGUCUAGGGAUGGGUGGGCCUUGUGUGUGGGGUCCUGCGCUUGGGGCGCCGGUCCUGAUGCAGAGGGUGCUGCUGGGCCUGCAGCUAGGAGAGGGCCUGCUCCUGCUGGUGGCAUCUUUGAGGCACCAGCCAGGGCCUCCUGAGACAGUUCCAGGGGCCACACUUGCUGUGUUCAGGGCCCUUCUCGGCAGGUGGUGCUGCUGGGCGCCGAGUUAGGGAAGGGCGAGGCCGAGCUCACGGUGAGGGCAGGUGGGGGCACCCUGCGGGCGUGGCCGGGCUCCUCCUGCCCCAGGGGCCCUGCUGUCAGUCUUCUGCUGGAGAAGGACUUGAGGUCCCAAGAGGGCUGCUCUUCCUCUGCCCGCUCUCCCUCCAGAGGGCUCCAGAGCCCGGAGGCUGGGUAUCUGCUAGCGCCCAGGAUGGCCCUUUCUAGGCGGCGGUUGGGGGUUCCACAGGGCGGUUGGUAUCUCCUCAGGCGAAAACCUCCUUCUGAGCACAGCAGAUCC